UAUCUGAGAAACCACACGCCAAGCAAUCAGAACACGAAAAUAAACGAGAAUAAAAGUAAGAAAUCGUAAAAAGAGAGCGAAGAAAGAUUUUAUUUCUGGAUUCGCGUUUGAGCGUAACAACAAGGUAACGUGCUUCGGCUACGAGAGCUGUCGGCGAGAUUCCUAGUCUAAUACCCGAAGGUGGCUAAACCUAAUUGAGUCGCAGCUCGAAUAACAAAAACGAAAAAAUUCCUAAAAUCGCAAUAAGUGCUAAGUUUUUUCUGAAAAAGUCCCUCCCUAUGCCUCUCGAUUUGAGCUCCUUAUAUACUCCCUUCUAGGUCGGUUUGCGUCUUCCCUUUUUGUCCUUAAGCCGUCAUAAUCCAAAAAAUGGAGAUAUUCCAUUUUUCCGAUCUUCAUGAUUAUCUGCGGAAACUUUCCAUUUAUCCGGAAUUCGAUGUUUAUCUUACCAAGCGUAACCGUCCUAACGUUUAUGGGUUUUAAGAAAUUGUAAGUGGGCCUCGAAU
rnacentral:lncRNA from 1 species